rnacentral:tRNA from 1 species
GCUUGGGUGGCUCAGUCGGUUAAGCAUCUGCCUUUGACUCAGGUCAUGAUAUCAGGGACCUGGGAUCGAGCCCCAACUCAGGCU